rnacentral:rRNA from 1 species
GAUGAACGCUGGCGGCGUGCCUAACACAUGCAAGUCGAGCGAUUCUCUUCGGAGAAGGGCGGCGGACGGGUGAGUAACGCGUGGGUAACCUGCCCUGUACACACGGAUAACAUACCGAAAGGUAUGCUAAUACGAGAUAAUAUGCUUUUAUCGCAUGGUAGAAGUAUCAAAGCUCCGGCGGUACAGGAUGUACCCGCGUCUGAUUAGCUAGUUGGUAAGGUAACGGCUUACCAAGGCGACGAUCAGUAGCCGACCUGAGAGGGGGAUCGGCCACAUUGGAACUGAGACACGGUCCAAACUCCUACGGGAGGCAGCAGUGGGGAAUAUUGCACAAUGGGCGAAAGCCUGAUGCAGCAACGCCGCGUGAGCGAUGAAGGCCUUCGGGUCGUAAAGCUCUGUCCUCAAGGAAGAUAAUGACGGUACUUGAGGAGGAAGCCCCGGCUAACUACGUGCCAGCAGCCGCCGUAA